ACAGCCAAUCACAGCCAAUGAGAUGGAGGAGAGCACCGGGCUCAUGGAUGCAGAGGAAAACAACAAGAAAGUGGAUGUGAAAACAGAUGAUAGAUCCAAAAUGAGCGUGGCAGCCAAGAUGUCUCUGUUUAAAGAACUGGAGAAGUCAUCUGCCCC